AUCGAGCCCAAUUGCACUAAUUUAGACCCAAUCAAAUCCAAUCUCAACAAUUGAGUCCUGAUCAAGUUCAAUUACAUUAAUUGAAACUUGAUUGACCCAAAAUACAGACUUAAUUAGUUGUUCAUCUAUGAAGUUUAGCAUGUACCUCAUGUUCAGUGCUAGCUGAACAUAGACAGAACCAAAUUCCAAAUAACCCACAAUUUAAUUCUUAAUUAAAUUGGGUCAAGACCUUCCUACUUAGUUUGACUAAUGUGCGUGACUCCGAUAGGUUCGAACACUAAGCCGGUAGUACAUGGACUACUCCAUGCACUAAUCGAGGUGACCAUCUAGCAAUGAUACCCGACGUCCGGAUAGGUCGAAUAUGCAAAGCAACAUUCAAGAACCUAGACGUAUGAUUGUUGCAUAAUUC
rnacentral:lncRNA from 1 species